GGUCCCUACAAAUCAGAAAGAAAAUUCUGAAAAAUCAGGGAUUUAGGAAAUGUUUCUAGCAGACUCUACACAACUCAGUAAAAGUUAUCAAUACACCGCACACACCAAAACUAAAAAAUUGUCUCUCAAAUCCCACUCUAUAAAAAAGUGUCUAAUUCACUCAUUGGAAAAAGUUUUUUUCACUACUGAAACACUGUUUAAAUUCUAAUAGAUUUCCACACAAAUCCCUAAAUAGCUCAGCUCAUGGAAAAUUCAUAAGAGGAGAGAAGGGUGAGGUAGGAAUUAGAACUAAAAGUAAGAGUAAGGAGAGGACAUUAUCUGAACCGCUUCUUCCCUCGCCGAAUUUUCUCGCUGUAGAACACCCCAAUGAUGAUCAUGGAUUUUUUUCCUAACUCAGCUCAACAACUGUUGAGGUUUGAAGGUCAGAUCGAGUGGUCGCAUAAGAAUUGGGUUUUCAUUUUUCCAUUUCUAAACCGAUGUAUGGUUGUUGUAAGAGAAAGAGCGAUGAUACAUUGAUCUAGCAGGCUUUAUUUUGUUACCUUGUUGAGUUUGAAUCGAUGACUGGUUAAAGAGGAGGGUUGGAGGAGAUGUGGUUUCAAAGUUUCAAACCUAGAUUUUUGUUUGUGUUUUGAUGCUUGUUCAUUUCCUUUGUUUUUAUCUAAGUUUAUCCCUGGUGAAAAGUGUGGUCGUUUUGACUUGGUAUUCGGUGUACCGUGUGGCUAUGAGUCAACAUUUUGUCAUGGGCCACAAAGUCUGGACCCUUGGAUUCUAGAUGAUGAUCAUAACCCAUCAACUGUUGGUUGUGAUCUGAUGGAUCAGGUGGCUUGCUGUAAUCUAAUUGUAGUGGAUUAAGGUAUCUACAAAAUGGUUGACUAACGCCUUUCAGGAUUUGACUGGUAUCAAUUAGGCAUACUCUUUUCUUUGGGUUUAAAUAUUUGUUGGUUACCCUCCUUUACUCCACUUUGCAACCUUUUUUUUUUCUUUUUUUUCUUUGCUUUUUUUAUUACUUUGUUUUAUUAUUUACUCUAAAUAGUCUAAUUGUUCUUAUUUCAA